UACACAGAAAACACUGCUUUAUUGACUGCAUUUGCCAACACAUUGAGGAAUGCAAAGGGAUUUUUUCAUAAGCAAUGGGCCAUGGUCCCAAUGUGUAUUAAAGCAUACACUGUAUCUAAACAGGAUGAAAAUAAUGGCAGACAGAGCUAUUCCAAGGCAACACAAAUAGCAUGCAUAAUACAGUCUCACACAGAACGAGUUUGAGAACAUUAUAUUGCUUUAAGGAUUAACUAACAUGGAAAAUGUACAAAAAGGAGAAAUAGGUUUUUGCAUUAAUGAAAAAUACAUUUUUUCUCUACAAAGGAAUUUCUAAUACAAGAAAAUAAAUAUUGCAACAUAAGCCAAAAAUAAUUUAAAAUUGCUCUUUUCAAUAUAUUUUCAAUAUUUCUCUUUUGUAUUAACAAAUGGCACAUCACGUUCUUUGAAACAAAGAAAACAGAAGGGUUUCUCCUCCUGCGACAUUCAUAUCGUUUCCUGUAACUGAUGUGAAGUCGGUCUGUUUGUAUGUGGAAUGGUGCAAACUGCGGGGUGAGCUCCUUAAAGAACAACCAAACCUUGUGCCCUGCCCUGCAGCAGCAUCUUCCCGCAUCCCGCUCUCGCCUCCCGGCUCCGUUCUGCACCCGCCUUGGGAUGAGCUCCGUGGACAGCGGGCACCCAACCCCCGGGAAAUAGGUGCAAGCGAAAAAGAAUAGUUAAAAGUAAUCAAAAAAUGGGAAUGGGGAAAACGGGUUGUGGAAUCGGAGCUGUCCUCAGGGAACUCCCACCACCAUCAGAGCUGGGGUUGACGUUGGGGCUGUGCUCCAUGAUGAGGGCAUGAUGCUAUUUGCAUCCUCAUCUCAGCAGCUGCUGCUUCUCCAAGGAAACGGGUGCUCUUACAGUGCAAAUGUCAAUUCCUGUAGUUUAUACAUCUUAAAAGACAAUAUUUCUCUACUAAAAUAAACCCUUUUAUAGUAAUUAUUUUUUCUUUCUAUUCAUGUCAAAAUACAUUUACAGUACAUCAAAAAUAUUUUCCUUGUGCAUUUUCUCUCGGAAAUGCCAGGUUACCCUGUUCCAAUGCAGUGGCGAGGAUGCUCUGGGCAGGGGAUGCACCAGAGUGGUCCAGUCCUCACCCAGCCCCAUGGCUCACGAGAGCCCCUUUUCUCCUCUCUAUCCCCCCUACCCCAUUCUUCUCCCCGGGUUGGACAUGCCCCACCAGCCCGCUUUAGCUUUCCCCAUCUAAACACCAUCUCCCAAUGGCAAAAUACAGUGCCUGAUAUUUUGGGAGUGUUUCCAACUGUUUUAUUGCCUGGUGCUGGUGGCGCUGGGUUGGUUGUUCUUUAAAGUCUCCCCCUCUUUGCUUUCCUGUACUGAGAAGACAAGUAGUGCAGAAGCUGAUGAAUGGAGCUGUGUACAGUGAAAUUUGUGGAUUGCUUUUUCUGAUUUAACCAUAAUUGAGUGAAGCACACGGAAGCAAGAUUCAUUAAAAGGCAGCAUAUUGAUUAUUGUUAUGACUCUUAUACUAGGAUACUGUAGCUAAAGCUAGCAAGCCUGAUAAGAUAAACUAAGUCCUAUUUACUGUAUUUAACAUUAUCCGAACAUACUGAGCCUUAACUAAUGAGCAGAUUUUCAUUUCCAACCUCAA
ensembl:lncRNA